rnacentral:rRNA from 1 species
AUAUUGGACAAUGGGCGCAAGCCUGAUCCAGCCAUGCCGCGUGUGUGAAGAAGGCCUUUUGGUUGUAAAGCACUUUAAGCGAGGAGGAGGCUACUUAGAUUAAUACUCUAGGAUAGUGGACGUUACUCGCAGAAUAAGCACCGGCUAACUCUGUGCCAGCAGCCGCGGUAAUACAGAGGGUGCGAGCGUUAAUCGGAUUUACUGGGCGUAAAGCGUGCGUAGGCGGCUUCUUAAGUCGGAUGUGAAAUCCCUGAGCUUAACUUAGGAAUUGCAUUCGAUACUGGGAAGCUAGAGUAUGGGAGAGGAUGGUAGAAUUCCAGGUGUAGCGGUGAAAUGCGUAGAGAUCUGGAGGAAUACCGAUGGCGAAGGCAGCCAUCUGGCCUAAUACUGACGCUGAGGUACGAAAGCAUGGGGAGCAAACAGGAUUAGAUACCCUGGUAGUCCAUGCCGUAAACGAUGUCUACUAGCCGUUGGGGCCUUUGAGGCUUUAGUGGCGCAGCUAACGCGA